rnacentral:piRNA from 1 species
UGCUUCUCAAACUUGAGCUCCCCUGAG